AUACAGAGGGUGCAAGCGUUAAUCGGAUUUACUGGGCGUAAAGCGCGCGUAGGCGGCUAAUUAAGUCAAAUGUGAAAUCCCCGAGCUUAACUUGGGAAUUGCAUUCGAUACUGGUUAGCUAGAGUGUGGGAGAGGAUGGUAGAAUUCCAGGUGUAGCGGUGAAAUGCGUAGAGAACUGGAGGAAUACCGAUGGCGAAGGCAGCCAUCUGGCCUAACACUGACGCUGAGGUGCGAAAGCAUGGGGAGCAAACAGGAUUAGAAACCCCGGUAGUCC
rnacentral:rRNA from 1 species